rnacentral:lncRNA from 1 species
CAGGUUGAAAUUAUGAAGAGAGGAAGGGAUAAACAAAUAACAAUAAAAUAAACCAAUCAAGUUGAAUAGUCAAAACUUGUCUCUUUUUUUGUCCCUUCUUUCCACACCAUCUAUUUUGUCUUCAAACCACUAUCUUAUUUUUUAAAAUACCAAUAUUCUCUCAUGCUUUUAAACAAAAGAAAAAUCCUUUAUUUUUUACGUCUUCCUAGUUCCUCC